UACGUAGGGUGCGAGCGUUGUCCGGAAUUACUGGGCGUAAAGCGUGCGCAGGCGGUUUUGUAAGACAGGUGUGAAAUCCCCGGGCUUAACCUGGGAACUGCAUUUGUGACUGCAAAGCUGGAGUGCGGCAGAGGGGGAUGGAAUUCCGCGUGUAGCAGUGAAAUGCGUAGAUAUGCGGAGGAACACCGAUGGCGAAGGCAAUCCCCUGGGCCUGCACUGACGCUCAUGCACGAAAGCGUGGGGAGCAAACAGG
rnacentral:rRNA from 1 species